UACGUAGGGGGCGAGCGUUGUUCGGAUUUACUGGGCGUAAAGGGCGCGUAGGCGGCGCGUAAAGUCGGACAUGAAAUCAUUGGGCUUAACCCAAUGGCUGUGCCCGAUACUUGCGUGCUUAGAGUGCGGGAGUGGCAAUCGGAAUUCUCGGUGUAGCGGUGAAAUGCGUAGAUAUCGAGAGGAACUCCAGUGACGAAGGUGGGUUGCUGGACCGACACUGACGCUGAGGCGCGAAAGCUAGGGGAGCAAACGGG
rnacentral:rRNA from 1 species